GACGAACGCUGGCGGCGUGCCUAAUACAUGCAAGUAGAACGCACAGUUUAUACCGUAGCUUGCUACACCAUAGACUGUGAGUUGCGAACGGGUGAGUAACGCGUAGGUAACCUGCCUGGUAGCGGGGGAUAACUAUUGGAAACGAUAGCUAAUACCGCAUAAUAUUAAUUAUUGCAUGAUAAUUAAUUGAAAGGUGCAAUUGCACCACUACCAGAUGGACCUGAGUUGUAUUAGCUAGUAGGUGAGGUAACGGCUCACCUAGGCGACGAUACAUAGCCGACCUGAGAGGGUGAUCGGCCACACUGGGACUGAGACACGGCCCAGACUCCUACGGGAGGCAGCAGUAGGGAAUCUUCGGCAAUGGACGAAAGUCUGACCGAGCAACGCCGCGUGAGUGAAGAAGGGUUUCGGAUCGUAAAGCUCUGUUGUAAGAGAAGAACGGGUGUGAGAGUGGAAAGUUCACACUGUGACGGUAUCUUACCAGAAAGGGACGGCUAACUACGUG
rnacentral:rRNA from 1 species